UGGUGGUAACCCUGAAAUAUAGGUGGGAGGACGGGGUGAUUAAUAAAUGCAGUGUGAAUUUUAAACAAACCCUCAAUAUGGCUGGUCACACUAUCCAAGGACAAACUCUGAGGAGACAGCAUCGAUUGGUUCUUGUUUGGAUUGCAGCACUUUGGUUUAAAGUUCUUCCACCCCACAUAUACUAUGAGAAAUUCAUCGCAAAAAUUCACAGCUAACAAAACAUCUGGUUCCAGAAUCUUGCACAGAUCCACUAUAUCUUGGGACUCCUGCGGGGCACAUUUCCUCCCCUUUGCUUUGCAAAUGUUGGAGAACAAGACUUUUCUACCUUAUCAGGUAGAUAAUAGGACUCAAUAGAAACCACAGGGUUCCUGAUUCCCAAGUCUGCUUUAGAGAAACAAGCCCCUGUGAAAUAUUAACUAAUUAAAAAGAUUCUUAAAAACUGGAAUCAACCAGAAAUCCUUACCAAGUGACUCUUGUGGUAUUACUUGAUCAACAAUUAGUGUGGGUUUCUCAUGAAUGCUAGGGUUGUUUUCCAUCUUGAUAGCUGAGCAAAGAAUCUAGGGCCAAUAACCCUAGCAGGGGCAUAUGGUCAAGGGCACUGCUGAUUCAAAAUCCAUAAAAAAUCCAUCCACUUAUCCUGAGUAUGAAAGGCUCUUGUUUCCAUGAGAUGCUAAUUUCACAAUAUCUAACCCUGCCACCCACUAGUGAUUAACCUUUAAUGUUUGGGAUGCUUCCACAGGGUUCUUCUGGCUCUCAGAUGGAUCCUUUUAGUUUGAAGGGUAGAAUAGAUCAUUUUGACCUUGAAAGUUAUACAGGAUAGACACCACACAAGGUCAUUCCCUGGGAAAGGAACUUGUAGAAAGUAGGGCUGACCUGUGGAGAAUUACCGCCAUGAGCCAUGAUCAAUCAUAUCCGUAUCCAACGCCAGAGAGCAUGGAGACCUGCUCUGUGCCAAGCCUAGGCCCAAACACCCUCAUGGACCCUUGUAGUAAUUAUGUGAGGUAAGUACAAGUAUAGCACACUAUGUAACAGGGAAGCCAUCUUGCAAUUUUUUUUUUUAUUCUAAAAACCUUAAUUUCAGGAAGGAAUUCACAGAAGUUGGCCAUGGUGGUAUAUACUAAGUUCCAGACUUAGGAGGAUGGAGCAUCUGAGGAGGCCAGCCUGGGUAUAGCCUGGGCUACAGAGUGAGAGCCUGUCUCAAAAAGAAAGAGGGAAAGGAAAAGAAGGAAGGAAGGGAAGGAGGGAUUGAUUCUGCCCAAUUCAUGAUCAUUUUUUCUAGACUCAACUCUGUCCCUAGGAUACAUGGUUAGAAUUUGCAUGUCUGCCUGCCCCCUGAGGCACAGCACAGAUAACCAGUGGAUCUCUCCAGGAGCCCCUAUGAUCAAGGCCUCCCAGACCUGUGUUUCCACUAGCAUGAGUUUCUGACCUAGGUCUGACAGGUUACCAAAACUUUAAGGUUAAAAUCAGUAUUGUCCUCAGAAAGAAAAAAAAA